UACAGAGGCCUCGAGCGUUAGGCGGAAUCACUGGGCUUAGAGCGUGUGUAGGCGGACUUCUAAGUACCUUGUGAAAUCCCACGGCUUACCCGUGGAACGGCUGGGUAUACUGGGAGUCUUGAGCCACCUAGGGGCGAGUGGAACAAAUGGUGGAGCGGUGAAAUGCGUAGAUAUCAUUUGGAACGCCAAUGGUGAAAACAACUCGCUGGGGGUGUGCUGACGCUGAGACACGAAAGCCAGGGGAGCGAACGGG
rnacentral:rRNA from 1 species